ensembl:miRNA dre-mir-103 microRNA 103
UUGCCCUGGUCUGUCAGCCUCUUUACGGUGCUGCCUUGUGGAAUCUGGAUCAAGCAGCAUUGUACAGGGCUAUGAGAGACCCGGGCCC